rnacentral:lncRNA from 14 species
CGCAGACUGAAAUGAAGCGACUGCAAAGCUGAAGCUCGGGGAAGGACAUCGUGUGCUGGAGCAGAGCCUCAGAGGCACAGAGGGAGCAAUCACACUGAAAUAGAGGGCUCUUCCCCCUCCUUUCUGUAACGAGUGAGGGGGAGGAAGACUCGCUUCAGAAAUGAACCUUUUUCUCCCAACCUCAUGGUCCAGGAUUUCUCAUGGAAGGAAGGAAGGGCUGACACCACUGGCCUGUAGCAGCAGGGGAAAUGGCAAGAGGCAGAGAAAGCAGCUCCAUGAGGCUGGAGGGGGAUUGGUACCCACUGUCCCAGAUGAGCAGAGCUCGGAUCUGUUCUUUUCACACCUUCCUGCCUGAGGUUAUGCCUAUGCAGGACACCUGGGAGAAGCCAUCAUCAGCCCUGUGCCCGCAUCCUGCUUCAGGAGCAGCCGGAGGAGCCCUCCUGGUAUGGAUGUGCUUGGACCAGGCUUUCCCACCAGCCCCAGCAGGGUCCUACCUUCAUAAACCUCGAUGGUGUAUGGGUGGGCUGUUGUCUGGGACCCUCUUUGUUUCUGGAGCCUAUCCUAUACCCAACACACUGUCUGUCCUCGGAGCUUGCUCAAGAGGCUGUGCACUCUCUCGGCUGCACCCAGAAGUGAUGCUGGGAGAAGAGCAGGAAUAA